rnacentral:rRNA from 1 species
UAUCCUACGGGACGCAGCAGUAGGGAAUUUUCGUCAAUGGGCGCAAGCCUGAACGAGCAAUGCCGCGUGAACGAGGAAGGUCUUCGGAUCGUAAAGUUCUGUUGAAGGGGAAAAAGAGCGGAGAGAGGAAAUGAACUCCGAUUGAUAUUACCCUUCGAGGAAGUCACGGCUAACUACGUGCCAGCAGCCGCGGUAAUACGUAGGUGGCGAGCGUUAUCCGGAUUGAUUGGGCGUAAAGGGUGCGUAGGCGGCCUGCUAAGUCUGGAGUGAAAGUGACCGGCUCAAC